rnacentral:rRNA from 1 species
UACGGAGGGGGCUAGCGUUGUUCGGAAUUACUGGGCGUAAAGCGCGCGUAGGCGGAUCUGCAAGUCGGGGGUGAAAUCCCGAGGCUCAACCUCGGAACUGCCUUCGAUACUGCGGGUCUCGAGUCCGGGAGAGGUGAGUGGAAUUCCAGGUGUAGCGGUGAAAUGCGUAGAUAUCUGGAGGAACACCGGUGGCGAAGGCGGCAUCCUGGACCGGUAUUGACGCUGAGGCGCGAAAGCUAGGGGAGCAAACGGG